UCCUCGGUAGUAUAGUGGUCAGUAAUAUCCCGCCUGUCACGCGGGAGACCGGGGAGUUCGAUUCCCGCCGGGGUA
rnacentral:tRNA from 1 species